GACGAACGCUGGCGGCGUGCUUAACACAUGCAAGUCGAGCGAGUGGCGGACGGGUGAGUAAUGUCUGGGAAACUGCCCGAUGGAGGGGGAUAACUACUGGAAACGGUAGCUAAUACCGCAUCCCAUCGGAUGUGCCCAGAUGGGAUUAGCUAGUAGGGGGGGUAACGGCUCACCUAGGCGACGAUCCCUAGCUGGUCUGAGAGGAGGACCAGCCAAACUGGAACUGAGACACGGUCCAGACUCCUAGGGGAGGCAGCAGUGGGGAAUAUUGAACAAGGGGCGCAAGCCUGAUGCAGCCAUGCCGGGUGUAUGAAGAAGGCCUUCGGGGUGUAAAGUACUUUCAGCGAGGAGGCGUUACUCGCAGAAGAAGCACCGGCUAACUCCGUGCCAGCAGCCGCGGUAAAC
rnacentral:rRNA from 1 species